rnacentral:rRNA from 1 species
GAUGAACGCUAGCGGGAGGCUUAACACAUGCAAGUCGGGGGGCAGCAUGGGGUAGCAAUACUCUGAUGGCGACCGGCAAACGGGUGAGUAACGCGUAUGUAACCUACCCUGUACAGGGGGAUAACCCGGAGAAAUUCGGACUAAUAUCCCAUAACAAUAUCCGGGGGCAUCUUUGGUAUAUUUAAAGUUCCGGCGGUACGGGAUGGGCAUGCGUAACAUUAGCUAGUUGGUAAGGUAACGGCUUACCAAGGCUUUGAUGUUUAGGGGUCCUGAGAGGGUGGUCCCCCACACUGGUACUGAGACACGGACCAGACUCCUACGGGAGGCAGCAGUGAGGAAUAUUGGUCAAUGGGCGCAAGCCUGAACCAGCCAUCCCGCGUGCAGGAAGACGGCGCUAUGCGUUGUAAACUGCUUUUCCAGGGAGAGAAACUUGCGCACGUGUUGCGCAAUUGACGGUACCCUGGGAAUAAGCAUCGGCUAACUCCGUG